AAGCAGUAGGAGCCUCUUUAUGGGGUGACUGCGUACCUUUUGUAUAAUGGGUCAGCGACUUAUAUUCUGUAGCAAGGUUAACCGUAUAGGGGAGCCGUAGGGAAACCGAGUCUUAACUGGGCGAAUGAGUUGCAGGGUAUAGACCCGAAACCCGGUGAUCUAUCCAUGGGCAGGUUGAAGGUUGGGUAACACUAACUGGAGGACCGAA
rnacentral:rRNA from 1 species